rnacentral:misc_RNA from 1 species
GAUGAAGAACGUAGCGAAAUGCGAUAAGUAGUGUGAAUUGCAGAAUUCAGUGAAUCAUUGAAUCUUUGAACGCACAUUGCGCCCCUUGGUAUCCCGAGGGGCAUGCCUGUUCGAGCGUCAUUUCACCACUCAAGCCUGGCUUGGUGUUGGGCGACGUCCCCUUUGGGGACGCGCCUCGAAACGCUCGGCGGCGUGGCACCGGCUUUAAGCGUAGCAGAAUCUUUCGCUUUGGAAGUCGGGGCCCCGUCUGCCGGAAGACCUACUCGCAAGGUUGACCUCGGAUCAGGCAGGGAUACCCGCUGAACUUAAGCAUAUCAAUAAGCGGAGGA